rnacentral:misc_RNA from 1 species
UUUUUGGUUAGGGUCAGUUCCUUGACUAAUUUGUUUGUGUUUGCAAAAAGUUUCUAUAAAUCCGAUUGCAGAGACAACCAUCUUGUCUCUGCCGAUUGGAUUAAUAUUUAUAUUAUUAAAAAAUAACACCCUGGAUAUAACACAUCUAUAAAUAUUAUCGCUUAAAAAUGUCUAAAGAAGAAAAGCUUGAUUGGAUUUACAAAGGGGCCAAUAGCUUGGUGGAUAGGGAAGAGUACCUUCUAGGUAGGAAAGUUGAUAAAACCCUCGACCAAUUGAACAAUGAAGAAAAGGAGACCAAAUUCGUUUUACCCACACCAAAAAAUCAUGUAGAACAUGAAUGCAUACCACCAUCCAUAAGAGAUUUUAAUAAAAUUGUACAGGCAGAACAAGUUGAUUUACAAACAAAACUUCAAGAGGAUCCCCUAAUAGCCAUAAAAAAGAGAGAAGAAGAAGCACGUAGGCAAUUCCUACAAAACCCUGUUCAGUUAAAGAAACUACAAGAAGCUUUGAUGAAAAAACAAAACCAGAAGAAGAAGACAAAGAAAAAAUCUAAAAAAAAAGACUUAGAUCUUGAUGAAAAAAUAAAGCAAAAAUUAAAGAUGUUAAAAUCUAAAACUACAGGACCAACAGAGCCAAGAAAAGAUUCUAAAAAGGAAAAAGACGAAACUCUUACGACAAUUUUAAUGCACAAGUUUAAUGCUUUAAAAAGUAAGCUUUCCGAAGACGAUUUACAAGAUAUUCUAAAUGGUAAAACAAGUGAUAGCAGUGACAGUGAAAAUGAAGAUAAAUCAAAGAAAAAAAGUCACAGAAAAUCUCAGUCUAGUGAUAGUGAAGAAGAAGUGAUUCGUAAUAAAGAAAAGGAAAAAUAUAAGAAAAGAAAUAAGAGAAGAGAUUCAAGUCACCAUGAUAAAAGAGAAAGAAGUAGUAGUAGAGAGACAUAUAAUUUGGGAAAAAACAAAAGGACAAGGAGAAGCAGGAGUCCAAGAACAACUGAGAAAUACAGGAGUGAAAAAUCAUACCAAGGAAACCAAAAAUCUUCAGGUCAGAGAAGAUACAGGAGUAGAAGCAAAUCUAAAGAAAGUGAACUACGAAAGAAAAAGCAAAGAAGCAGGAGUAGAGACCAGGAGAAAAAGAGCAGAAGUAGAGACCGAGAAAGAAGUAAAAAUACAGCUGUUAAAAGAAGAAAUGAAAGUACUGAUAGCUCAGAUGAUGAAAAGUCUUACCACCAUCAAAAAAGCACACCAAAAGGUAGUGAUAGUGAUAGUGAACUUGAUAAAAAAAUUAUGGCACAACUUAAAAUACUUAGAGGAGAAGCUGAAAACCAGCUUAAAACUAAAAAACCUUUGUAUCCUGAAAAGCCUUCGAAUUUAUAUAAAAACUCUAAAAGCAGCUCAAGUUCAUCAGAAGAUUCAGAGUCGGAUACAAAGCAACAUUCAAGAAAAUCCUCUAGUCCUGCAAAAGCUAAAUACAAAUACAGUGACCAUGAAGAGGAAAUUCCCAAACAGAAAUCCUUUGGACUAGUAUCAGCAGACGGUAAAAAGAUUGCUUUUAAAAAUACUUCUCAGAAAAGUAAAAAUUCUAAACCAACAAAAAAAAUUGAAGAAACCUCCUCAAAACCUGUCUUUAAAAAUGUUAAAAAAAUGUCAGAAGAAGAAAAGGAGAGGCUCAGAAAAGAAAUGAUGAAAAACGCUAAGUCCAGGGACAAGGAGCGAGAAGAAAACAUUAGACUUUAUAGGGAAAAAAAUAAAAAAGAAGAAGAAACAGUGUCGAAGAGCUUCGAUGCGGAUUUGGUGCAUAAUGAGCUCAUGAAAAGUGCAAACCAUUCAUCUGUAGAGCAGAGGAUUAAGAGCAAAUUGAACAGCAUCCAGAGAUCUUCCAGACAUAUGGAAAGUAAUUUUUCAAAAAGGUGAUAAUGGUAGAAAUGUUUCAGUUUGUGGGUUGAAAUUUGGAGUUCCUGAUAUCAAAAAUGAGAAGUUUCAUUCACUUAAUCACAUGGUGGAUUCCAGUUAACAUCUUAAAAUGAAAAUUAUGUAAGAUCUAAAUCAGGAAUAUGCUACUCCCCGAAAGCCACAUCUACCUUCCUAUCUUCGACAGCAGAAUUCCGUGAUACCCACAAACAAAUGCUUUGGACAGAUCACAGAAUAUGCGGCCGAUGCAUUCAUUCAAACUAAGAUAAGAAACACACUCAACAAAACUUUAAUUGGCAUCCUGAUUACUCUUAGAUGUUUGUCUUUCAGUUAUAAUUCGAAAAAAUUGAAGAUAAUUGCACUAAUCGCAGACCUUUUCUUGACCAGUCUUUUCAUGCCAUGACCUUUGAUAAGAUUGGUAGUAAAGAGAUUGGGCAGUAAUUAGAAAGAUUGUUAACUUCAACAUCCUUCAAUAUGGUAACUACCAAAGAAGACUUCAAGUAAGUAAGAAACACACCUUCCAACCAAUAAGCCUCAUAAGGUACCUGCAAGAGCACUUUAGGAGAAAUCUCAUCCUCGUCGCUAGAUUUUUUGUUUUUUUUUUAAAUUGUUUUCCUAAUUUUUGCCGGUUUGUAUCAUCAAAAACAAAUAUACCAGUGUUACAAACAUUUUUAAGAUGAGAUAAAGGGUCUGAAGUAGA